rnacentral:rRNA from 1 species
UACGAAGGGGCUAGCGUUGCUCGGAAUCACUGGGCGUAAAGGGUGCGUAGGCGGGUUUUUAAGUCAGAGGUGAAAUCCUGGAGCUCAACUCCAGACUGCCUUUGAUACUGAAGAUCUUGAGUAUGGGAGAGGUGAGUGGAACUGCGAGUGUAGAGGUGAAAUUCGUAGAUAUUCGCAAGAACACCAGUGGCGAAGGCGGCUCACUGGCCCAUUACUGACGCUGAGGCACGAAAGCGUGGGGAGCAAACAGGGA